rnacentral:tRNA from 1 species
GGCCCCGUAGCCUAGCCUGGAUACAUGCUUAGGGCAAAUAAGGCGACAGCCUUCUAAGCUGUAGAUCACGGGUUCGAAUCCCGUCGGGGCCA